AGAUACACAGGGGAUGGAGUCCCCCGGGUAACCGCCCUGGCCGGGCUGAUGACUCCUACGCUACC
rnacentral:ncRNA from 2 species